rnacentral:rRNA from 1 species
UGCAGUCGAGCGAGAUCUUCGGAUCUAGCGGCGGACGGGUUAGUAACGCGUGGGAACGUACCCAAAGGUAGGGAAUAGCCACUGGAAACGGUGAGUAAUACCCUAUGUGCCCUUCGGGGGAAAGAUUUAUCGCCUUUGGAUCGGCCCGCGUUAGAUUAGAUAGUUGGUGGGGUAACGGCCUACCAAGUCUACGAUCUAUAGCUGGUUUUAGAGGAUGAUCAGCAACACUGGGACUGAGACACGGCCCAGACUCCUACGGGAGGCAGCAGUGGGGAAUCUUGGACAAUGGGGGCAACCCUGAUCCAGCCAUGCCGCGUGAGUGAUGAAGGCCUUAGGGUCGUAAAGCUCUUUCGCCUGUGAAGAUAAUGACUGUAGCAGGUAAAGAAACCCCGGCUAACUCCGUGCCAGCAGCCGCGGUAAUACGGAGGGGGUUAGCGUUGUUCGGAAUUACUGGGCGUAAAGCGCGCGUAGGCGGACUGGAAAGUUGGGGGUGAAAUCCCGGGGCUCAACCCCGGAACUGCCUCCAAAACUAUCAGUCUAGAGUUCGAGAGAGGUGAGUGGAAUUCCGAGUGUAGAGGUGAAAUUCGUAGAUAUUCGGAGGAACACCAGUGGCGAAGGCGGCUCACUG